CGAGGGGCAGCAUGUCUUAGCUUGCUAAGGCGAUGGCGACCGGCGCACGGGUGAGUAACACGUAUCCACCUGCCGUCUACUCUUGGACAGCCUUCUGAAAGGAAGAUUAAUACAAGAUGGCUCCGCAUUCAUAAAGGUAUCCGGUAGACGAUGGGGAUGCGUUCCAUUAGAUAGUAGGCGGGGUAACGGCCCACCUAGUCUUCGAUGGAUAGGGGUUCUGAGAGGAAGGUCCCCCACAUUGGAACUGAGACACGGUCCAAACUCUACGGGAGGCAGCAGUGAGGAAUAUUGGUCAAUGGACGAGAGUCUGAACCAGCCAAGUAGCGUGAAGGAUGAAGGUUUAUGGAUUGUAAACUUCUUUUAUACGGGAAUAACGGAUCCACGUGUGGAUUUCUGCAUGUACCGUAUGAAUAAGGAUCGGCUAACUCCGUGCCAGCAGCCGCGGUAAUACGGAGGAUCCGAGCGUUAUCCGGAUUUAUUGGGUUUAAAGGGAGCGUAGAUGGGUUGUUAAGUCAGUUGUGAAAGUUUGCGGCUC
rnacentral:rRNA from 1 species